rnacentral:rRNA from 1 species
GAUGAACGCUGGCGGCGUGCCUAAUACAUGCAAGUCGAGCGAACAGACGAGGAGCUUGCUCCUUUGACGUUAGCGGCGGACGGGUGAGUAACACGUGGAUAACCUACCUAUAAGACUGGGAUAACUUCGGGAAACCGGAGCUAAUACCGGAUAACAUGUUGAACCGCAUGGUUCAACAGUGAAAGACGGUCUUGCUGUCACUUAUAGAUGGAUCCGCGCCGCAUUAGCUAGUUGGUAAGGUAACGGCUUACCAGGGCAACGAUGCGUAGCCGACCUGAGAGGGUGAUCGGCCACACUGGAACUGAGACACGGUCCAGACUCCUACGGGAGGCAGCAGUAGGGAAUCUUCCGCAAUGGGCGAAAGCCUGACGGAGCAACGCCGCGUGAGUGAAGAAGGUCUUCGGAUCGUAAAACUCUGUCAUUAGGGAAGAACAAAUGUGUAAGUAACUAUGCACGUCUUGACGGUACCUAAUCAGAAAGCCACGGCUAACUACGUG